rnacentral:snRNA from 1 species
AGUAUCUGUUCUUAUCAGUUUGACACCUGAUACGUCCCCUAUCCGAGGACAAUAUAUUAAAUGGAUUUUUGGAGCUGGGAGAGGGAAUGGGGGCUUGUCCGUUCACUCCAUGCAUUUGACCUGGUAUUGUAGUACUUCCAGGAACGGUGC